CCACACUCCUAGACAGCAGUUCUCAAGGUAUCAACUUGAGAUUUUGGGGAGGAAUAUUAUCUGAUAUGUCACCAAGAAUACAAAAGUUUAUUCAUCGGCCAAGUGUUCAAGACUUGCUGUGGGUAGCCAGACCUGUCCUGCAGAACAGUGGCCCUGAGACCUUCACCCAGCUGAUGGGCAUCCUGUCUGACCUCCUGUGUGGCUACCCAGAAGGGGGAGGCUCUCGGGUGUUCUCCUUUAACUGGUAUGAAGACAAUAACUAUAAAGCCUUCCUGGGGAUUGAUUCCACAAGGAAAGAUCCUACCUAUUCUUAUGACAAAAGGACAACAUCCUUUUGUAAUGCACUGAUCCAGAACCUGGAGUCAAACCCUUUAACCAAAAUAGCCUGGAGGGCAGCAAAGCCAUUGCUGAUGGGAAAAAUCCUCUUUACUCCAGAUUCCCCUGCUGUUCAAAGGCUACUGAAGAAUGCCAACUCAACUUUUGAAGAACUGGAUCGAGUUAGGAAGCUGGUCAAAGCCUGGGGAGAAGUGGGACCCCAGAUCUGGUACUUCUUUGAGAAGAGCACACAGAUGACCAUGAUCAGAGAUACCCUGGGGCACCCAACAGUAAAAGACUUUAUUAAUAGGCAGCUUGGAGAAGAAGGUAUUACUACUGAAGCCAUAUUAAACUUCUUCCCUAACGGUCCCCGAGAGAACCAGGCUGAUGACAUGACCAACUUUGACUGGAGGGAUAUAUUUAACAUCACAGACCACUUCCUACACCUGGCUAAUCAAUACCUGGAGGUAAGAGGCAUCAAUCCACUUGAGGACCAUAGUGGGCCUCUUAAAAGUAGUCUCAUGCGUAAGGCUUGAGAUGUGUCAGCCGAUCAACUGGU
rnacentral:lncRNA from 1 species